rnacentral:rRNA from 1 species
AACGAACGCUGGCGGCGCGCCUAAUACAUGCAAGUCGAGCGAGAAGACGUAGCAAUACGUUUGUAAAGCGGCGAACGGGUGAGGAAUGCAUGGGUAACCUACCCUCGAGUGGGGAAUAACUAGCCGAAAGGUUAGCUAAUACCGCGUACGCUCCUUGGACUUCGGUUCAGGGAGGAAAGCGAUACCGUGGGUAUCGCGCUCUUGGAUGGGCUCAUGUCCUAUCAGCUUGUUGGUGAGGUAACGGCCUACCAAGGCGACGACGGGUAGCUGGUCUGAGAGGACGACCAGCCACACUGGAACUGAGAUACGGUCCAGACUCCUACGGGAGGCAGCAGUGGGGAAUAUUGCACAAUGGGCGAAAGCCUGAUGCAGCGACGCCGCGUGAGGGAUGACGG